AGACGUAAGGACAGACAGUAAACGGAGGA
rnacentral:piRNA from 1 species